CGGGUGGAUUGCAGAGCAGCUUGUUUAUAUAAACCCGGAAACGUCAACAGAGGGAGAGAGAGGGAGGGAAGAGAAGGGAGGGAGAUACAGCGGUACAGGGUGAGAGUCACAUUACAGCCCAAGAGGACGCCUGCAGCAGAGGCGGUAGCAGCCUCGGAGCAGAGCUCAGCUCUCUCUACCUGGUCCUUCAGCUCCGAGCGAUUGAAUUACACCCACUUUGCUAAGAACAGGCGGGGGUGGGAGAGCUGGAGAGAGAGGACUGAGCAGAGAGAGGGUGAGACUGGCCUGGAGGGGAACUUCACUGCUCCAGCCUGACCCCGCCUGGGCCAGCGACCCUUCUAGCUGUGGACGGUGGAGCUGAGUAGAAGGCUUUCUCUCCCUCUCCUUCUCUCCUAGCAGUGGAUCAACAGGUGUCCCAGGGACUUAGAAGCAGCCGGAGGUUUAGAAAGGGACAGGCAGGCAGUCGCCGAGUCCGGGGCAAGAAGAAAGUUGCUCCCCCAUUCCUCUUCCUCUGCUCGAACUCCACCUUCUUCCCCUUUGCUCCCGUGGUCGUCCAGGAGGCGUCUGGAUUUGGCUAGUCGGGGUCCUCGGGCGUCUCCGAAAGAGAGGAGGACAGGAAGCUAAUAAGAUCCCCUCCCUUUCAUCCCCCCCCUCAAAAAAAACCCCCAACAGCACCACAAACUUUAGGGAAGAGAGUAGGGGGAAGGCGGGAGAGAGAAGGGGAGGCGGUGUCUCUCUCCCUCAGAGAUUCAGACAUGACCGGUCUGGAAGAAGACCAGGAGUUUGACUUUGAUUUCCUUUUCGAGUUUAACCAGGCCGACGAGGGCACCUCUGGAGCUGGCAAAGAACACUAUAAUUACACAUCUUCAAAUAUCAAUGCUGGUUUGCCUCUCAAUGUGGCCCAUCCCUCAUUGUCAACCCCAUGUCAUGAUCUUCAGACAACCAAUCCGGUCAUUUCAGUUGUACCAUCAACAAAUCAUCCCUCUGGAUAUGGAGGCAGUAUUGACAGUGGGACCUCAGGAUAUUAUCUUUCUUCAAAUGUCAGACCUAAUGGAGCCCCAGCAUUAGAAAGUCCUCGGAUUGAGAUAACUUCCUAUUUGGGACUUCAUCAUAACAACAACCAGUUUUUUCAUGAUGCUGAUGUUGAAGAAACGAUACCAAACUCUAAACGAUCUCCUUCUACUGCUACCUUGAAUCUGCCAAACAUCGAAGCUUAUAGAGAUCCAUCCUGCCUGAGUCCGGCUAGUAGCUUAUCUUCCCGAAGCUGUAAUUCUGAAGCAUCAUCAUAUGAAUCCAAUUAUUCUUACCCAUAUACAUCUCCUCAGACAUCACCAUGGCAGUCUCCUUGUGUCUCUCCUAAGACCACUGACCCAGAGGAAGGAUUUCCACGGGGUAUGGUGGCCUGCAACUUGCUGAAUUCUCCAAGGCAUUCUCCAUCUACAUCUCCAAGAACAAGCAUUACAGAGGAAAACUGGCUCAGUACCCGUAACUCCAGGCCAUCCUCUCCUUGCAACAAGAGAAAAUAUAACCUAAAUGGGAGGCAGCCAUCUUACUCACCACAUCAUUCGCCAACACCAUCUCCCCAGAAUUCCCCUCGAGUUAGUGUGACAGAUGAGACCUGGCUGGGAAACACUAACCAGUACACCAGUUCUGCUAUCGUGGCUGCUAUCAAUGCCCUUACCACAGACAGCACAAUAGAUAUGAAUGAUGGAAUUCCUAUAAAGUCCAGGAAAACGGCCCUAGAGCAUACUCCUUCCAUGACACUCAAGAUAGAGCCAGCUGGUGAGGAUCAUGGGACCAUGUCACCCUCUUCUGAUUUAUCACCUGAAGAAUUUUCCACCUUCCAGCAUAUCAGGAAAGGAAACUUCUGUGAUCAGUACCUUUCGGUGCCACAACAUCCAUACCAAUGGGCCAAACCAAAGCCUCUGUCUCCCACUUCAUAUAUGAGCCCGUCUCUGCCUGCCCUUGAUUGGCAGCUGCCAUCUCACUCAGGACCUUAUGAACUUAGGAUCGAAGUGCAGCCCAAAUCCCACCACAGAGCUCAUUAUGAGACUGAAGGAAGUCGAGGGGCUGUGAAGGCAUCUGCAGGAGGACACCCUAUUGUACAGCUACAUGGUUACUUAGAAAGUGAGCCGCUCACGCUCCAGCUGUUCAUCGGGACGGCAGACGACCGCCUGCUGAGACCACAUGCUUUCUACCAGGUCCACCGGAUAACAGGGAAAACAGUCUCCACCACCAGCCACGAAGCAAUCCUCUCCAACACCAAAGUCCUGGAAAUUCCACUUCUACCAGAAAAUAACAUGAGAGCAAUUAUUGAUUGUGCUGGAAUCCUAAAACUCAGAAACUCAGACAUUGAACUGCGGAAAGGUGAAACUGACAUUGGAAGAAAGAAUACUCGAGUGAGACUGGUUUUCCGGGUUCAUAUUCCACAAUCUAAUGGCAGAACUCUAUCUCUACAAGUAGCAUCAAAUCCCAUUGAGUGUUCCCAGAGAUCUGCCCAAGAAUUGCCUUUAGUGGAGAAACAAAGCACAGACAGCUAUCCAGUGAUCGGUGGGAAAAAAAUGAUAUUGUCUGGUCACAACUUUCUGCAAGACUCAAAAGUAAUUUUCGUGGAAAAAGCACCAGAUGGUCACCACGUGUGGGAAAUGGAAGCAAAAACUGACAAAGAAAUGUGCAAGCCAAAUUCACUGGUGGUUGAGAUACCACCUUUUCGCAAUCAGAGAAUUACCAGUCCUGUUCAGGUUAAUUUCUACGUCUGCAAUGGAAAGAGAAAGAGAAGCCAGUACCAGCAUUUCACCUACCUUCCUGCAAAUGUUCCAAUUAUAAAAACAGAACCCACCGAUGACUAUGAGCCUGCUCAAACCUGUGGACCAAUGAACCCAGGAUUAAACCCUCUCUCUAAGCCAUACUACAGUCAGCAGAUCAUGAUGCCUCCUGAUCCUGGUUCUUGCCUUGUGGCUGGCUUCACUUCCUGUCAGCAGAGAAACACUGUGAUGUCAUCUUCUCCCAACUCAAGCCCCAAGCUUCAUGACCUUUCCUCUUCUGCUUACAACAAGUGUAUCACGAAUCCAGGCCACAGCCACCUAGGACUUCAACAGCCCGCUGGAGGUGUCCCCACUAUCCAGGAAGUGCCAAGGUCUAUAGUUGUACACCCAAGCUCUCCUGAUCAGUCAUCUCACAUCAUGCUGCAGCCGCAGGUGAGUCAACAUCUGAGCAGUAGCUGUUCCCUUGGUUACCAACAAACACUCUAUCCCAACAGUCCCUCUUCUCCAGUUCCAUCCGUUACCCAAGAGUCAACCUAUUUGCAGUCCUGCAGUCCAACUCACUCAUCCAUAAUGGGUCAACAGCAGCACCAACUGCCGAAAGUUCAAAGAAAUGAAUCUCCAACCAAUCAGCCACUGUCAUUGCCAGAGUUGCAUGAGGACAGUAAUCAUAAUUUGGCCCCUAUUCCCGUAACGAUCAAGCGAGAACCUGAGGAAUUGGACCAGUUGUACCUGGACGACGAAAUGUCAGUGACAACCCAUGCAAAUUGUGGCCUUCCCCAAGCAGCCAGGUUGCAAGCUAAAACAGAGGAUUAAAGUGUUGGGAAGAUUGCUACUCUUCCCUGUGUCUGGGGAUUAAAGUUUGUGAGCUGUGUGAUUUCAGAUGCCAAGUAAAUGAAAUAAUAAGAAACGACCUCUCCAGCACCAACGUCCAUGCAUAGCUUGCUUUGCAAUAUUGGAACUAGUUCAGAAGCCGCAUGGUUUCUCUGCAGCUGGCAGGUCAGCUUCUGUAUCAAGAGACUUUUAACUGAAUGAACUGAAUUCAUUACCUGGUACCACUUGGAUCUUCCGACUUUACUGAAGCUGGGAGCUGAAGAUUUCUAUCAUGUGUUAAAAAAAAAGUCAUCAGAAAAAAAUAUUCUGGAGAAAAACAAAGUCAUCUCAAGAAAAAAGGGGGAGGAUACAUGUGGAGGAAAAAACUGUGUGGUGACACCUUUUAUGGGAGGAAAUGGGGAUACAAGAGAAUGAUAGGUUGGACCCAGGCUUAAUCUUUUCGGCACGGCUGGAAUUCGAUACUGGAAGUGCCUUAUUUUACCAGAUCAUGGCAUCAGAGCAUCUUAGUAGGCUUUGAAUUUGCUGCCAUAUGAGUAUUUGUAGGAGUAAAAACUAUCAAAGAUUUCACUCUUAUGCUUAAUCCUUUUCUAAAUCAAAAGAAUACUGCCCGUGAAGGGUGGUGGGGGGAGAGCCUAUGAAGUUUCCUGAAUGUACUUCAGACUUUUCCUCUGCUGUAAUUGAUGAUUUCUUGCCUUAUUCAGUGCAUUUCAGAAUCCUUCCAGUUUGUCAUCUCAACUCUUUUAUCAUAGCCUUUUUUUUCCUGUGCUAGUAAACCAUAGGAUUGUUAAUCAUAGCAUGCUAAGAUUUUUUAUUUUAAUCUAGCUUCAAACAUAGCACAAGUCAGUUAAAUAGCACAAAAUAGAUUGACAGACAAAACAUUUGUAUCUAUCUAUUACAUGAUAGAUCUUGCAUUUGCAUGUACAUACAUCUAUAGGACAUAUAUUUAUGUAUAACAAAUAAUCGAGUUGGUGAUUGUCAGCCUUCAGCCCAGCAAGGGCAACACGUUUAGCAAUAAUCAGUAUCCAUUUUAAGAAAUGCAUUUCAGAGUCCAGAUAUGACUUUUCAACUAAGUCUGUAAGGGGCCAUCAGCCCACCAACAGAUAUGCAUUUUUCUUGCCUCAUGCAGUUAAACAAGCACUUUAGAAAGCCAGGAAAGAUGCAUACCAAGAACAUGUUCUUUACCAAACGGCAAAAGAUGAAAAUAAGUGUAAAUACCAUUACAAAAGAGUGUAAAAUAUUUGUUCAAUUAUAAGAUUAUUAUUCCACAGAAGCCUUAUAACUCUCUGCUUCAUGAAAGAAAGAUAUUACCAAAAAACAAUGUUUUAAUAUGCAGCACUGUAUAGGAUAUUUUCAAAUUAGUUCAUGUUAAUGGUGCACCUAAUAGGUUAGCUUAGCCUUUAUUAUUACUGCAUUUUGUACAAUGAACAGCUUAUUUCACAUUAUUACUAGCAGUGACCUAUUACUUCAUAUAACUCCAAAAAGAAAAAAGAAAAAAAAAAAGCAUGGCUUAAUUAACGAAUGUUUAACCUUAAUAUUGUGCCUUAGGAAUCGAUGCCCCCUUAUGGAACAUGCCUGUAUUACACCCUCAGGUGGAGGUUGUAAAUUACUACUUAAAUGUAGUGUCAUCAAGUGGAAGAACUUUCUUGCAGACCUUUUCACAUAUUCUUCUGUAUAAUUAUGUCUUACUUUUCUUAAAAAAAAUGGAGAACCCAAAAGCCAUAUUUGUAACAUUUGCACAUAACUGUGAAGAGCUGAGAAUAGAAUAUGGCUGUUUGUACAUAUUGGGCAGUUACUGCACCUGCUAGCAAGCUAUAUUAUUCCUUAACUGUUUAUUCCCAGUUAUUUACCUAGUACUUAGCAUCAUAAGAGUUGCAUGAAACAUGUUCUGUAGACUGCCAUUUUAAAGUGAAAACUUGGAUAGUUGUGUAAGCUAUCUUUGUAGUUAGAAAUUAGAUCAAAAUAAAGCAAUCUAUUAUAUAUAUUAUUAUUUUUUGCUGGA